rnacentral:lncRNA from 1 species
CAAUACACCAAAUGCCAAACUCCAAACCUGUAGAAUGGCCAGAGAUUUGCUCCACACGGCUACUGCAACUAGACCCAAAAACUUAGGUGACACCAUGGCUGAUAGUGAUAAGUUCAACUUGAUUGCAACACAGAAAAUGGAAGAAAGGCACUGUAUGGGGAACUGAAACUUCUCUCUAUGGCAUAGAUAAAUCUAGUGCUCUCCCCGGCAAAAUUAAAGUAACCGGUCCAUCGAUCUUCUUCCUCUAAAGCCAUUUGAAGAGGAUGCCUCCAUGGGUGGCGAAGAAGGGGGCAAAGACCAGGGACUCAACGGCCAUGAGCUUGAUGAGGAUAUUCAGUGAUGGGCCUGAGGUGUCCUUGAGCGGAUCACCGAUGGUGUCACCAAUGACAGCAGCUUUGUGUGGAUCGGAGCCUUUGGGGCCCAGAGUUCUUGCGUGCUCAGAUGCACCAGCCUGUAAAACCAUGGAGAGAACCAAAGUUAGUCGAGUUUGACAAAUAUGGAUAGGAAGAAAACUGCUGAUUGAUAGGUGCUAUUGUUUCUACCUCGAUGUAUUUCUUUGCAUUGUCCCAGGCACCUCCAGUGUUGGAUGCAGAGAUUGCAAUCUGAAUGAGAAUAUAGAUAAUUAGUUAUGAAUGAAACAUGCCGACAUCACAAGAGAUUAUAACAAUGAAAGCAACCACGGAAAGAGUACCAACCUGGACACCAGAAACAAGAGCACCAGCAAGAACACCAGAGAGGGUCUCAACACCAAACAAGAUCCCAACAAUAAGCGGGGUGAGCAUGACAAGUGCGCCUGGGGGGAUCAUCUCCUUGAUAGACGCAUCAGUGGAGAUCUUGACACAUGUCGCAUAGUCAGGCUUGGUGGUGCCCUCCAUGAGCCCAGGGAUG